rnacentral:rRNA from 1 species
UCCUACGGGAGGCAGCAGUGGGGAAUAUUGGACAAUGGGCGGAAGCCUGAUCCAGCCAUGCCGCGUGUGUGAAGAAGGCCUUUUGGUUGUAAAGCACUUUAAGCGAGGAGGAGGCUCCUUUAGUUAAUACCUAAAGUGAGUGGACGUUACUCGCAGAAUAAGCACCGGCUAACUCUGUGCCAGCAGCCGCGGUAAU